AGUGAAAGCUGGCGGCGUGCCUAAUAAAUGAAAGUCGAACGGAGUGGCGAACGGGUGAGUAAUGUAUAGCUAAUCUGCCCUACACUAGAGGACAACAGUUGGAAACGGCUGCUAAUACUCUAUAGUGUAGGAUGAGGUUAUAUUGUAUCAGCUAGUUGGUGAGUUAAUGGCUCACCAAGGCUAUGACGCAUAACUGGUCUGCGAGGAUGAUCAGUCACACUGGAACUGAGACACGGUCCAGACUCCGACGGGAGGGAUCAGUAGGGAAUAUUGCUCAAUGGGGGAAACCCGGAAGCAGCAACGCCGCGUGGAGGAUGACACUUUUCGGAGCGGAAACUCCUUUUGUUAGGGAAGCGGUACCUAACGAAUAAGCACCGGCUAACUCCGUGCCAGCAGCCGCGGUAAUUC
rnacentral:rRNA from 1 species